GAUGAACGCUGGCGGCGUGCCUAACACAUGCAAGUCGAGCGAACCCUUCGGGGUGAGCGGCGGACGGGUGAGUAACGCGUGGGUAACCUGCCCUGUACACACGGAUAACAUACCGAAAGGUAUGCUAAUACGAGAUAACACAUUUUAAUCACAUGGUUAAGAUAUCAAAGCUGCUGCGGUACAGGAUGGAACCACGUCUGAUUAGCUAGUUGGUGCGGUAAUGGCUCACCAAGGCGACGAUCAGUAGCCGACCUGCGAGGGUGAUCGGCCACACUGGAACUGAGACACUGUCCAGACUCCUACGGGAGGCAGCAGUGGGAAUAUUGCACAAUGGGCGAGAGCCUGAUGCAGCAACGCCGCGUGAGCGAUGAAGGCCUUCGGGUCGUAAAGCUCUGUCCUCAAGGAAGAUAAUGACGGUACUUGAGGAGGAAGCCCCGGCUAACUACGUGCCAGCCGCCGCCGUAA
rnacentral:rRNA from 1 species